ACCGGCCUGCUACCCCCUGCUAGCCCUGGCCAUCCAUGGCCUCUGCUACUGGGGGACCAGGGUGGACAGCUUCAGCUGCUUCAUAUAGCAAGAGAGGGGACUUCCAUGCCGCAGGUGGAGGGACCUCCUCAGUUUCUGCCCUCCAUCACCAACUACCUCUCUGCCUCCCACCCCACCCCCCCAACCCGCCGCUGGAAUCCAAGAGGCAGCAGCAGUAGCUGCAGGAACAUCUGGAGGCACCAGUCAUUGGUCAGGCCGCUGCCCUGCCUCUGCCCCAGGGGCUGUUGCUCUUCCAGCUCUCAGCAGCCAGGGUAUCUUCUACCAGAACCUAUGCCUCCAGCAAGCCUCCAGUCUUAGAGAGCCACCUGAGCACUCAGCACCAGCAGGACUGAGCGUCCUGCACCCAGGGCGACUGCACCCCCCAGUGGGCCAGGCGUCCAUGCCUUCUUGGACCUCUCAGGCCAGUGCCCAUUGCAGUCGCUUGUCCACUGUGGGCCUCCUCGACCUUCUCCCACCUCCGUUUUCUGGACCACAUUGAGCGGAAGAAGAGCCAAGAGACCAUGCCACAGAAGCUCUAAGCAGCCAUGGAAAGGGGCAGCUCCUGAGGCCUGGGGACCUGAGUACACUCCCCAGGGCAGAACCACCCCCUGCACCUCAGUGCCAGCAGGAUGAGCUCACUGAAGACUUGGCAGUUGCCUGGUGGAGGAGACAUCGAGGUCAGACCUCCGGGCCCCAGACACAGUCCCAAGCAGCCCAAGCGGCAGACUCAGAUGUCUAGCACCUUCUCCUCCUUCACCAGCUACUUGGACUCCCCAGAUGCCAGCAGUGCCCCUCGCAGCCAAGACCUCUCUACCUCAGAGGCUUGUCCUCAGCCACCCGGGAUUCCACCCUCCCAGGAGUUGACACAGGAGCUGCGGCACCAAGGUGUGCAGUACGAACACCGACAGACUCUCCGGGACUACAUGGCCAAGCUGCCACUUCAGAGGGACACUCCAGGACCUGUGGCUACACCACCCUCCCAGGCCUCUAGCCUCCAGACUAUGUCUUUCAGGCAGCAGACGCCUGUCUUCUCUGGCUCCCAGUUUCCCCAGAAGAAGCCACAAAUGGGCUUCUGA